CAUUUUUUUAUGAAAGGGGUUAAAAUAAUACUUGCAAAAGGUAAUUGGAGUUACAAGAAUACUUUACGAUCUCUUUUUCAAGACGGUGUAAAAGUAUUUAAGUUUCAAUGACUUUGCAUAUCUUGUAUAAGGAGGUCAUGAUAAUGACUGGUAAAGUAAAAUGGUUUAAUGCAGAAAAAGGUUUUGGUUUCAUCGAGCGUGAAGACGGAGAUGACGUAUUUGUACACUUCUCUGCAAUUCAAGCUGAAGGAUUCAAAACUCUUGAAGAAGGUCAAGAUGUUGAAUUCGAAAUCGUAGAAGGCAACCGUGGCCCGCAAGCUGCAAACGUUGUUCGUCUUUAAUUCGAAUGAUAUAAAACGCUGGAUAAGCCAGCUAA
rnacentral:misc_RNA from 1 species